rnacentral:rRNA from 1 species
CCUACGGGUGGCAGCAGUGAGGAAUAUUGGUCAAUGGGCGCGAGCCUGAACCAGCCAAGUAGCGUGAAGGAUGACUGCCCUACGGGUUGUAAACUUCUUUUAUAAAGGCAUAAAGUGAGGCACGUGUGCCUUUUUGUAUGUACUUUAUGAAUAAGGAUCGGCUAACUCCGUACCAGCAGCCGCGGUAAGACGGAGGAUCCGAGCGUUAUCCGGAGUUAUUGGGUUUAAAGGGAGCGUAGAUGGGUUGUUAAGUCAGUUGUGAAAGUUUGCGGCUCAACCGUAAAAUUUCAAUUGAUACUGGCAGCCUUGAGUACAGUUGAGGUAGGCGGAAUGCGUGGUGUAGCGGUGAAAUGCUUAGAUAUCACGAAGAACUCCGAUUGCGAAGGCAGCUUACUAAACUGCCACUGACAUUGAUGCUCGAAAGUGUGGGUAUCAAACAGGAUUAGAUACCCCAGUAGUC